rnacentral:rRNA from 1 species
GAACGGGUGAGUAAUACAUCGGAACGUGUCCUGUAGUGGGGGAUAGCCCGGCGAAAGCCGGAUUAAUACCGCAUACGCUCUGCGGAGGAAAGCGGGGGAUCCUUCGGGACCUCGCGCUACAGGGGCGGCCGAUGGCAGAUUAGCUAGUUGGUGGGGUAAAGGCCUACCAAGGCGACGAUCUGUAGCUGGUCUGAGAGGACGACCAGCCACACUGGGACUGAGACACGGCCCAGACUCCUACGGGAGGCAGCAGUGGGGAAUUUUGGACAAUGGGCGCAAGCCUGAUCCAGCAAUGCCGCGUGUGUGAAGAAGGCCUUCGGGUUGUAAAGCACUUUUGUCCGGAAAGAAAACCGCCUGGCUAAUAUCCGGGCGGGAUGACGGUACCGGAAGAAUAAGCACCGGCUAACUACGUGCCAGCAGCCGCGGUAAUACGUAGGGUGCAAGCGUUAAUCGGAAUUACUGGGCGUAAAGCGUGCGCAGGCGGUUCGCUAAGACAGAUGUGAAAUCCCCGGGCUUAACCUGGGAACUGCAUUUGUGACUGGCGGGCUAGAGUAUGGCAGAGGGGGGUAGAAUUCCACGUGUAGCAGUGAAAUGCGUAGAGAUGUGGAGGAAUACCGAUGGCGAAGGCAGCCCCCUGGGCCAAUACUGACGCUCAUGCACGAAAGCGUGGGGAGCAAACAGGAUUAGAUACCCUGGUAGUCCACGCCCUAAACGAUGUCAACUGGUUGUCGGGCCUUCAUUGGCUUGGUAACGUAGCUAACGCGUGAAGUUGACCGCCUGGGGAGUACGGUCGCAAGAUUAAAACUCAAAGGAAUUGACGGGGACCCGCACAAGCGGUGGAUG